GUGUCAGCCGCCGCGGUAAUACGUAGGGGGCGAGCGUUGUCCGAAUUCACUGGGCGUAAAGCGCGCGUAGGCGGACUUUUAAGUUGGGGGUGAAAUCCCGAGGCUCAACCUCGGAACUGCCUUCAAAACUGGGAGUCUUGAGGUAUGGAGAGGGAAGUGGAAUUCCAGGUGUAGCGGUGAUAUGCGUAGAUAUCUGGAGGAACACCCGUGGCGAAGGCGGCUUCCUGGCCAUAUCCUGACGCUGAGGUGCGAAA
rnacentral:rRNA from 1 species